rnacentral:rRNA from 1 species
GACGAACGCUGGCGGCGUGCUUAACACAUGCAAGUCGAACGGAAAGGCCCUGCUUGCAGGGUACUCGAGUGGCGAACGGGUGAGUAACACGUGGGUGAUCUGCCCUGCACUUCGGGAUAAGCUUGGGAAACUGGGUCUAAUACCGGAUAGGAGCCAUCUUUAGUGUGGUGGUUGGAAAGUUUUUUCGGUGUAGGAUGAGCUCGCGGCCUAUCAGCUUGUUGGUGGGGUAAUGGCCUACCAAGGCGGCGACGGGUAGCCGGCCUGAGAGGGUGUACGGCCACAUUGGGACUGAGAUACGGCCCAGACUCCUACGGGAGGCAGCAGUGGGGAAUAUUGCACAAUGGGCGCAAGCCUGAGGCAGCGACGCCGCGUGGGGGAUGAAGGCCUUCGGGUUGUAAACUCCUGUCGCUAGGGACGAAGCUUUGUUGUGACGGUACCUAGAUAAGAAGCACCGGCUAACUACGUG